rnacentral:rRNA from 1 species
GACGAACGCUGGCGGCGUGCCUAAUACAUGCAAGUCGAGCGGACGAAUCGAAAGCUUGCUUUUGAUUCGUUAGCGGCGGACGGGUGAGUAACACGUGGGCAACCUGCCCUGUAGACGGGGAUAACACCGAGAAAUCGGUGCUAAUACCGGAUAACACGAAAUGUCGCAUGACGUUUCGUUGAAAGACGGCGCAAGCUGUCGCUACAGGAUGGGCCCGCGGCGCAUUAGCUAGUUGGUGAGGUAACGGCUCACCAAGGCGACGAUGCGUAGCCGAACGGAAAGGGCGAUCGGCCACACUGGGACUGAGACACGGCCCAGACUCCUACGGGAGGCAGCAGUAGGGAAUCUGCCGCAAUGGACGAAAGUCUGACGGAGCAACGCCGCGUGAGCGAAGAAGGCCUUCGGGUCGUAAAGCUCUGUUGUUAGGGAAGAACAAGUAACGCAGUAACUGGCGUUACCGUGACGGUACCUAACGAGAAAGCCACGGCUAAUUACGUGCCAGCCGCCGCGGUAAGAC